rnacentral:rRNA from 1 species
GUUCAGUGGCGGACGGGUGAGUAACGCGUGAGCAACCUGCCUUUCUGAGGGGAAUAACAUACCGAAAGGUAUGCUAAUACCGCAUGACAUAUUGAGAUCGCAUGAUUUUGAUAUCAAAGAUUUAUCACUGAAAGAUGGGCUCGCGUCCGAUUAGAUAGUUGGUGAGGUAACGGCUCACCAAGUCAGCGAUCGGUAGCCGGACUGAGAGGUUGAACGGCCACAUUGGGACUGAGACACGGCCCAGACUCCUACGGGAGGCAGCAGUGGGGGAUAUUGCGCAAUGGGGGGAACCCUGACGCAGCAACGCCGCGUGAAGGAAGACGGUCUUCGGAUUGUAAACUUUUGUCUUAUGGGAAGAAAAAAAUGACGGUACCAUAGGAGGAAGCCACGGCUAACUACGUGCCAGCAGCCGCGGUAAUACGUAGGUGGCGAGCGUUGUCCGGAAUUACUGGGUGUAAAGGGCGUGUAGGCGGGUCUUUAAGUCAGAUGUGAAAUACCCGGGCUCAACUUGGGGGGUGCAUUUGAAACUGGAGAUCUUGAGUGCAGGAGAGGAAAGCGGAAUUCCUAGUGUAGCGGUGAAAUGCGUAGAUAUUAGGAGGAACACCAGUGGCGAAGGCGGCUUUCUGGACUGUAACUGACGCUGAGGCGCGAAAGCGUGGGGAGCAAACAGGAUUAGAUACCCUGGUAGUCCACGCUGUAAACGAUGAUAACUCGCUGUCGGCGAUACACAGUCGGUGGCCAAGCGAAAGCAUUAAGUUAUCCACCUGGGGAGUACGACCGCAAGGUUGAAACUCAAAGGAAUUGACGGGGGCCCGCACAAGCGGAGGAACAUGUGGUUUAAUUCGAUGAUACGCGAGGAACCUUACCCGGGCUCGAACGGUGCAUGAAUAUACGAGAGAUUGUAUAGUCCUUCGGGACAUGUAUCGAGGUGCUGCAUGGUUGUCGUCAGCUCGUGUCGUGAGGUGUCGGCUUAAGUGCCAUAACGAGCGCAACCCUUGUCAUUAGUUGCCAUCAGGUCAAGCUGGGGACUUUAAUGAGACUGCCACCGUAAGGUGUGAGGAAGGGGGGGAUGACGUCAAAUCAGCACGGCCCUUAUGUCCGGGGCGACACACGUGUUACAAUGGGAGGUACAGAGGGCAGCUAUCCGGUGACGGAAUGCUAAUCUCCAAAACCUUUCUCAGUUCGGAUUGGAGUCUGCAACUCGACUCCAUGAAGGUGGAUUCGCUAGUAAUCGCGCAUCAGCCAUGGCGCGGUGAAUACGUUCCCGGGCCUUGUACUCACCGCCCGUCA